GUAUAAAAGCGCUUACAUGCACGAUAAAGGCAUAAUUGAAAACAGUUUUACCCAGUGCACAUCGCAGGUAGCCGAACAAACGCCGAAGACAUGUCUCGACUUACGAUUUUCUUUAUCCUUGCCGUGACGUAUGAAGUUUUUGGGGACGCUAAAGGCGCCAAAGACUCCAGCGGUGCUGCGUCCGGGGUGUACUCUAGCGUGCUCGGUGGCGGCAUCGGCGGCCUAGGUGGCGGCUUGGGCGGCCUUGGUG